UCGGGAAUAUUGCGCAAUGGAGGAAACUCUGACGCAGUGACGCCGCGUGCAGGAAGAAGGUUUUCGGAUUGUAAACUGCUUUAGACAGGGAAGAUAAUGACAGUACCUGUAGAAUAAGCUCCGGCUAACUACGUGCCAGCAGCCGCGGUAAUACGUAGGGAGCAAGCGUUAUCCGGAUUUAUUGGGUGUAAAGGGUGCGUAGACGGGAAGGCAAGUUGGUUGUGAAAUCCCUCGGCUUAACUGAGGAACUGCAACCAAAACUAUCUUUCUUGAGUGCUGGAGAGGAAAGUGGAAUUCCUAGUG
rnacentral:rRNA from 1 species